AAAGAUUUAGGUGGAGUUUAAAUAGCGUUUAAAACGAACCAUUUAGAUAUGGUUUAAAUGGAACAUUUGAUUGACCUACGUUCUAGAUCGAAACUAAAUUAAAUCUAAACAUUUAGAACGAACAUUAACUAAACGUUGAUAAAAUGUUCGAAUGCUUGCUGGGUUAUUAUAUUUAUCAUGUUUUAAAUAGUAAAGUAAAAAUAUAAUAAAAUUUUUAAAUUUAAUAGUAUGUGUAUAAGUCCUUUUAUUUUAACUUUAUCAUUUUAUUUAAAUCAUUGCAUUAUAAGUUUAACUGGUGAUAGAAAUAAUGUUUUACAUCUUUCAGAUAGAUCGGACAAAGAACAGGCAGGUUUGACUGGCAAUAUAACUGAAUUUGUACAUCAUGCAGAUAGCUCAGACAAAGAAUAAUGUUUGACUGGAAAUAUAAAUGUUGUACAUCAUGCAGAUAGCUUGGGUGGUAAAGAGUCUAGAUUGGUGAAAUGGACAAUGAUACUAACUGUGGUCAAAUGAUACUAACUGUGGUCGAAUGAUACUAACUGUGGUCAAAACAAUAAUGAAUAUCAAAAUGUAAAUGUUAAUUUCUUUGACGAUUACCUAGUUCUGCAAUUACAGUUGGCUGUGCAAUCGCACUUAUAAUUGGUUUUGAUGUUUUUUUAGAUUGAAUAUAUUGUAUUGAUGGUUCUUUUUAAUUUGUUGAAACUUUAAGUUAUUAGUUAUCAAAUUUAUAUAUACUAUUUUUAUCAAAUAGU